CCCCCAUAAAAAACCUAUACAUACGUCCCUGAGCCCUACUCCUUCCAAGCUGCAAUCUCCAACUGCAGAUUUCACCACUCAAACAUCACAGGGAUUCCACCUGCCGUGACUUCUGUCAAUACAGCAAUAUAUUUGUGGUAUGAAAAAGAGAUGUCUCCCUCUGGAAUUGCAUUGAAGCCUCAGUUUGCUACCAAGGUGAUAUCCUCACUGGCGAUUAAUCCUGGGCUAGUCACCUGAAAUAUCCAGCUUCCCUCAAGAUCUCUUCACAGCUGAACCGUGAAACACAGAUCAGUCCUGUUUCUGG